rnacentral:misc_RNA from 1 species
GAUGAAGAACGUAGCGAAAUGCGAUAAGUAGUGUGAAUUGCAGAAUUUAGUGAAUCAUCGAAUCUUUGAACGCACAUUGCGCCCUAUAGUAUUCUGUAGGGCAUGCCUGUUCGAGCGUUAUUGAGACCUCAGGCUCUGCUUGGAAAUGGGCGCUUGUCUUGCCUUGCAGACUCGCCUUAAAACCAUUGGCAGCUGAUUUACAAUGUUUGGUGCACAGUACAUGAGCCCAAGUGUUGCAAUGAGUGGCCCAAAAGUAUACAAUAGAAGCUUAACCUCGGAUCAGGUAGGGAUACCCGCUGAACUUAAGCAUAUCAAUAAGCGGAGGA